CAAAAACAUGUCUUUUUGAUAUAUAUAUGAAGUCUAGCCUGCCCAAUGAAUUAAUUUUAAUGGCUGCAGUAAAUUGACUGUACAAAGGUAGCAUAAUCAUUAGUUUUUUAAUUAAAAGCUUGUAUGAAAGGUUGGACGAGGUAAAAUCUGUCUCUAUUUAAUUUAUUAUAGAAUUUAAUUUUUGAGUUAAAAAGCUUAAAUGAUUAUAAAAGACGAGAAGACCCUAUAGAGUUUUAUAUUUUUAUUAAAUAUAAUUAAUUAAGAUUUAUAAAAGUUUUAUUUGAGAAAUUAUUUUAUUGGGGUAAUAGAAAGAUUAAUAAAAUUCUUUUUGUUUAUUAACAUUAAUUUAUGGUUUUAUGAUCCAUUAUUAUUGAUUAUAAGAUUAAGUUACCUUAGGGAUAACAGCGUAAUUUUUUUAAAGAGUUCAUAUCGAUAAAAAAGUUUGCGACCUCGAUGUUGGAUUAAAGAUUAGUUUAGGUGUAGAAGUUUAAAUUUUUGGUCUGUUCGACCAUUAAAUCUUUAC
rnacentral:rRNA from 1 species